AUUGAACGCUGGCGGCAUGCCUUACACAUGCAAGUCGAACGGUAACAGGUCUUCGGAUGCUGACGAGUGGCGAACGGGUGAGCAAUACAUCGGAACGUGCCUAGUAGUGGGGGAUAACUACUCGAAAGAGUGGCUAAUACCGCAUGAGAUCUACGGAUGAAAGCAGGGGAUCGCAAGACCUUGUGCUACUAGAGCGGCCGAUGGCAGAUUAGGUAGUUGGUGGGAUAAAAGCUUACCAAGCCGACGAUCUGUAGCUGGUCUGAGAGGACGAUCAGCCACACUGGGACUGAGACACGGCCCAGACUCCUACGGGAGGCAGCAGUGGGGAAUUUUGGACAAUGGGCGAAGGCCUGAUCCAGCAAUGCCGCGUGCAGGAUGAAGGCCUUCGGGUUGUAAACUGCUUAUGUACGGAACGAAAAGCCCCGGGUUAAUACCCUGGGGUCAUGACGGUACCGUAAGAAUAAGCACCGGCUAACUACGUGCCAGCCGCCGCCGUAA
rnacentral:rRNA from 1 species